AUUGAACGCUAGCGGCAGGCCUAACACAUGCAAGUCGAGCGAGCGGCGGACGGGUGAGUAAUGUAUGGGGACUGCCCGAUAGAGGGGGAUAACUACUGGAAACGGUGGCUAAUACCGCAUACUAUCGGAUGACCCAUAUGGGAUUAGCUAGUAGGUGGGGUAAAGGCUCACCAAGGCGACGAUCCGUAGCUGGUCUGAGAGGAUGAUCAGCCACACGGGGACUGAGACACGGCCCAGACUCCUACGGAGGCAGCAGUGGGGAAUAUUGGACAAUGGGCGAAAGCCUGAUGCAGCCAUGCCGCGUGUAUGAAGAAGGCCUUAGGGUUGUAAAGUACUUUCGGCGGGGAGGCGGUACCCGCAGAAGAAGCACCGGCUAACUCCGUGCCAGCAGCCGCGGUAAUAC
rnacentral:rRNA from 1 species